rnacentral:rRNA from 1 species
GAUCCUGCUCAGGACGAACGCUGGCGGCGCGCCUAACACAUGCAAGUCGAACGAGAGAGAGGGAGCUUGCUUCCUUGAUCGAGUGGCGAACGGGUGAGUAACGCGUGAGGAACCUGCCUCAAAGAGGGGGACAACAGUUGGAAACGACUGCUAAUACCGCAUAAGCCCACGGCUCGGCAUCGAGCAGAGGGAAAAGGAGCAAUCCGCUUUGAGAUGGCCUCGCGUCCGAUUAG